rnacentral:lncRNA from 1 species
AAUUGCCACCUGUGAAUAGUGAAGAAACUUCUCACUAUGAGAUUCCAUUGCCCGGAAGGAGGGUAGAGCUACGGUACCCACUAAGGCAGGGAACAGAAGCAACAGACGGACAGGGUCCUCGCAAGCGCAGCCACCACGAUCCGCCCGCCCACGUACCUGUGCUGCGCCUGCGCCUCCUCCGCUCUCUCAAGGUCAGCACCGCCCCCAGCCCACAACCUGGCACCCACGGAAGUUGCUUUAGAGGACGUCCUGCGUAUCUUCACCUCUGCGUGGCGUGGGGUCGACGGCGCUCUGGAGAAGGGAGGAACUUCCUGUCCCGCGCGCGCACAACUUCCGGCAGAGCCGGAAGACCCUCUCUUUCGCUGUUUGAGAGUCUCUCGGCUCAAGGACCGGGAGGGUGUGAUAGGUAUACAGCUGGUUGUUACCAUGGUGAUGGCCAGUGUCAUGCAGAAGAUUAUACCUCACUAUUCUCUUGCUCGAUGGCUACUCUGUAAUGGCAGUUUGAGGUGGUAUCAACAUCCUACAGAAGAAGAAUUAAGAAUUCUUGCAGGGAAACAACAAAAAGGGAAA